UGGCUCAGGAUGAACGCUGGCGGCGUGCUUAACACAUGCAAGUCGAACGGUCUCUUCGGAGAUAGUGGCGGACGGGUGAGUAACGCGUGAGGAUCUGGCCUUAGGACGGGGACAACAUUGGGAAACUGAUGCUAAUACCGGAUGAGCCGAGAGGUAAAACAUUUUAUGGCCUAGGGAUGAACUCGCGUCUGAUUAGCUAGUUGGUGGGGUAAGGGCCUACCAAGGCGACGAUCAGUAGCUGGUCUGAGAGGAUGAUCAGCCACACUGGGACUGAGACACGGCCCAGACUCCUACGGGAGGCAGCAGUGGGGAAUUUUCCGCAAUGGGGGCAACCCUGACGGAGCAACGCCGCGUGCGGGAGGACGGUUUGUGGACUGUAAACCGCUUUUAAUAGGAAAGAAGAUCUGACGGUACCUAUUGAAUCAGCAUCGGCUAACUCCGUGCCAGCAGCCGCGGUAAUACGGAGGAUGCAAGCGUUAUCCGGAAUUAUUGGGCGUAAAGGGUCCGCAGGUGGCCACUCAAGUCAGCUGUUAAAGACUGGGGCUUAACUCCGGGAGAGCAGUUGAAACUGGGUAGCUAGAGUACGGUAGGGGUAGAGGGAAUUCCUAGUGUAGCGGUGAAAUGCGUAGAUAUUAGGAAGAACACCAGUGGCGAAGGCGCUCUACUGGGCCUGUACUGACACUGAGGGACGAAAGCUAGGGGAGCGAAAGGGAUUAGAUACCCCUGUAGUCCUAGCUGUAAACGAUGGAUACUAGGUGUUGCUCGUAUCGACCCGAGCAGUAUCGUAGCCAACGCGUUAAGUAUCCCGCCUGGGGAGUACGCACGCAAGUGUGAAACUCAAAGGAAUUGACGGGGGCCCGCACAAGCGGUGGAGUAUGUGGUUUAAUUCGAUGCAACGCGAAGAACCUUACCAGGGUUUGACAUCCCGCGAAGGUUGGUGAAAGCCAACUGUGCCUUCGGGAGCGCGGAGACAGGUGGUGCAUGGCUGUCGUCAGCUCGUGUCGUGAGAUGUUGGGUUAAGUCCCGCAACGAGCGCAACCCACGUUUUUAGUUGCCAUCAUUUAGUUGGGCACUCUAGAGAGACUGCCGGUGACAAACCGGAGGAAGGUGUGGAUGACGUCAAGUCAUCAUGCCCCUUACACCCUGGGCUACACACGUACUACAAUGCAAUGGACAAAGGGCAGCGAGCGAGUGAUCGUAAGCAAAUCUCGGAAACCAUUGCACAGUUCAGAUUGUAGGCUGCAACUCGCCUACAUGAAGGAGGAAUCGCUAGUAAUCGCAGGUCAGCAUACUGCGGUGAAUACGUUCCCGGGCCUUGUACACACCGCCCGUCACACCAUGGAAGUUGGUUUCGCCCGAAGUCGUUACUCCAACCGUUCGCGGAGGAGGACGC
rnacentral:rRNA from 1 species